rnacentral:rRNA from 13 species
AAGCGAAUAAGAGCGUACGGCGGAUGCCUAGGCUUUCAGAGGCGAAGAAGGACGUGACAAGCUGCGAUAAGCUUCGGGGAGGUGCACAUGACCUGUGAUCCGAAGAUUUCCGAAUGGGGCAACCCGGCACCGUGAAGCGGUGUCACCGAAAGGAGCAAACCCGGGGAACUGAAACAUCUAAGUACCCGGAGGAAAGGACAUCAAUAUGAUACUCCCCUAGUAGUGGCGAGCGAACGGGGACUAGCCCU